CGUCAUGGUAGCUGUGCGCGGGCAGGCCUUGUGCCUGGCCGGUUUUCCUCCUUGUUUGGCCGGUCUCUCACCCCGCGUACAGCUGCCACCUAU
rnacentral:antisense_RNA from 3 species